UCGUGCUAGGUGGGGAGGUAGCGGUGCCCUGUACUCGCAAUCCGCUAUAGCGAGGCUGAAUCCCUUCCCGAGGUCCUUGUUCUGCUUGGUCUGACUCCGGUAAGUGGUGUUGACGUUUGGGUUCUGCGCAACGGAAUCCUGUGAAUCCUGUCAGGUCCGGAAGGAAGCAGCAGUAAGCAGACCAUUUCGUGUGCCGCAGAGUUACCUGGACCGAGCAAACUGCCGGUUUAACGCUUGUGGAACAUCGAUCGAAGGAAGGUGCACGG
rfam:Bacillus beveridgei strain MLTeJB, complete genome.